CCUACGGGAGGCAGCAGUAGGGAAUCUUGCACAAUGGGCGAAAGCCUGAUGGAGCAACGCCGCGUGGGUGAAGAAGGUCUUCGGAUCGUAAAACCCUGUUGGUAGAGAAGAAAGUGCGUGAGAGUAACUGUUCACGUGUCGACGGUAUCUAACCAGAAAGCCACGGCUAACUACGUGACAGCAGCGGCGGUAGUACGUAGGUGGCAAGCGUUAUCCGGAUUUUGUGGGCGUAAAGGGAACGCAGGUGGUCUUUUAAGUCGGAUGUGAAAGCCUUCGGCUUAACCGGGGUAUUGCAUUGGAAACUGGGAGACUUGAGUGCAGGAGAGGAGAGUGGAACUCCAUGUGUAGCGGUGAAAUGCGUAGAUAUAUGGAAGAACACCAGUGGCGAAAGCGGCUCUCUGGUCUGUAACUGACGCUGAGGUUCGAAAGCGUGGGUAGCAAACAGGAUUAGAUACCCCUGUAGUC
rnacentral:rRNA from 1 species